AGGCCGAUGGUGUAAUGGUAGCACAACGGUUUUUGGUACCGUUUGUCGGGGUUCAAAUCCCUGUCGGCCUGCCA
rnacentral:tRNA from 1 species